GGGGAUUUGGCUCAGUGGCAGAGCGCUUGCCUAGGAAGCGCAAGGCCCUGGGUUCGGUUCCCAGCUCCG
rfam:Rattus norvegicus chromosome 5, whole genome shotgun sequence.